AGGCCAGUCAUUAAAGAAAGAUCAUCUUUUGAUUUUGGACGAGAAGGGACAUCCUGUAGAGCUGAACCCACCAGAGGCGUUGUUACAGAGGAACAUCAGCAUCAGCUCCUUAGAUAUUCCAGAAAACUGCACAAAGAUUGCUAUUUUGGAUAUUGGCUCCUCCCAUAUAUACAAACCUGGUGACCACCUGAAUGGAUCUGUACGUCUGAAGCAGAGGUUGUUGGAGACUGAACAUUUUACUGUUGUCAACAUUCUACAAUCAAUCAUUUAUAGAUAUCUUACAGAUGAGAAAAUUUUGUAUGUCAAAAGAGAAUUAAUUAAUGCCGGCGUUAAUAUAAGAUGAUGUAACAGGUUUAUUAUAAGGUUUUUAAUUUGCCAGAUUUAGUGAUCUUGUGUACAGUAGCUGUAUGUGGUGAACUUGCUCACAGCACUUUUACAACUGAUAGGAAUUAUUAAAAGUUUCAGCAUAAUUAUUACAUCAAGCAAGAUAUUUGCUGUGUUGAAACAAUGAUUAUUCAUUGUUUGUGUAAAAAAAACAUGAUGCUUCUUGCUUUCUGCAUUAAAAGUACAGUAAUCAGAAAGA